CUCUGAUUCAACAUGUUAUUCUGUAAGGAGGUUUUAAAUCUCUGUCGGGGGUACGCUUUGGUCUUUUGGUUUGAAAUGCCAAUUGUCUUCGAGUCAGCGGUUAAACGCCACCGAGUCCGGUACACCUUUGAAGAUUAGAUAACCUCCUUUUGGAGUGGGAGGUGUGACGACCCUGAGUCUUCUCUGGAUCCUAUUGGACAAAGUGUGGCAGUUCCUAAUUGGUCUUCUGUUAAUUGUUAAUUAG